rnacentral:rRNA from 1 species
AGAGUUUGAUCCGUGCUCAGACGACGCUGGCGGCGCGCCUAACACAUGCAAGUCGAACGGGACUAUACUGGAAGAAGUUUUCGGAUGGAUUUCGGUAUAGUUUAGUGGCGGACGGGUGAGUAACACGUGAGCAACCUGCCUUCGAGAGGGGAAUAACGGCUGGAAACGGUCGCUAAUACCGCAUAACAUACUGGGAGGACAUCCUGCUGGUAUCAAAGAUUUAUCGCUCGAAGAUGGGCUCGCGUCCGAUUAGGUAGUUGGUGAGGUAACGGCUCACCAAGCCGACGAUCGGUAGCCGGACUGAGAGGUUGAACGGCCACAUUGGGACUGAGACACGGCCCAGACUCCUACGGGAGGCAGCAGUGGGGAUAUUGCACAAUGGGGGAAACCCUGAUGCAGCGACGCCGCGUGUGGGAAGACGGUCCUCUGGAUUGUAAACCACUGUCCCCAGGGACGAAAAUGACGGUACCUGGGGGAGGAAGCUCCGGCUAACUACGUG